rnacentral:rRNA from 1 species
UACAGAGGGGGCAAGCGUUAUUCGGAAUUAUUGGGCGUAAAGGGCGCGUAGGCGGCUUGGCAAGUGGAUGGUGAAAUCCCUCGGCUUAACCGAGGAACUGCCGUCCAAACUGCUUCGCUUGAGACCGGGAGAGGUGAGUGGAAUUCCCAGUGUAGCGGUGAAAUGCGUAGAUAUUGGGAGGAACACCAGUGGCGAAGGCGGCCCCCUGGUUGGAUACUGACGCUGAGACGCGAAAGCGUGGGGAGCAAACAGG